rnacentral:rRNA from 1 species
UAGUCCAUGCCCUAAACGAUGUGCACUAGUUCGAGGAGGUUUUAACGCCAUCUCGGACGAAGCUAAAGUAUUAAGUGCACCGCCUGGGGAGUACGGUCGCAAGGCUAAAACUCAAAGGAAUUGACGGGGACUCACACAAGCGGUGGAGCAUGUGGCUUAAUUCGAAGCAACGCGAAGAACCUUAUCCUGGGUUUGACAUGCACGGAUUAGCUUCCCGAAAAGGAAGUAACACUCUUUGAGUGGAACGUGCACAGGUGCUGCAUGGCUGUCGUCAGCUCGUGCUGUGAAGUGUCGGGUUAAGUCCCUUAACGAGCGAAACCCCUGCCGUUAGUUGCUACCAGGUAAUGCUGAGGACUCUAACGAGACUGCCGGUGUCAAACCGGAGGAAGGUGGGGAUGACGUCAAGUCCUCACGGCCUUUAUGCCCAGGGCUGCACACGUGCUACAAUGCGUGGGACAGAGCGAAGCGAUACGGCAACGUGGAGCAAAUCGCAGAAACCUACGCUCAGUUC